AUAUUAUUUAGCAAUUAUUAAGCCUUCAAAUAAUAAAGUAAUAUUGAAUUCUAACACAAAUAUAAUUACUUUUGAAUAUUCUGACUCUGAUAAUUUGAAGUUCGACCGUGAAGUAAUUAAGUAUACCCUAACACCUAACAUAUAAUUGUUUCAUCCCACAAUCAAACGCGGGUUCUUCCAAACAAUAUGUUGACUCUUAAAUUUUAUUCAACCGAAUCAAGUUCAAAAUACAAAUUUCAUUCAAAAUUCGAAAUACAAACGUUUACCCAAAUAUAGAAAACUAUGAUAUUCCGCCAAUUUGAAUAGAAGUACAACAGGAUUUGUCAUACAGUAUAGAUUAAAAGGUAUAAGAAUCUUAUUGAUAUGUACAGAAAAGGUAUGGACCAAGUCAAUAAACCGACAUUAAUGGCAACCAUGAUCUCAACCGCCACAACCACCUCCACACCCUCCGCCACAUCCACCUCCACCGUCUCCAUCUCCUCCGUCACCUCCACCACUGUACCCUCCGUCUCCGUGAUGACCGUGAUUUCCAGCUGAAGUUGUGUCAACAGGAGUCGUUGCUAUAGCAGCAGUCAUAAAAAUCAUGUUACCAUCUUUGGCACCGCUAUCACCUCUAUAUUUUGUGGCGCUAGCUUUAGAAGCAUGCAUGGCCUUAAAUCCUCCACCGUUCUUGUAUGUGUUAUUAUAAUCUCUUUUCUUUCCAUGUCGUGAGCAAAAGUUUCCCAUAGCUAUAUGUUGUUGGGUUCAAAGAUUUAGUUUCCGAUAAAGCUUUCUUAUCCUUUAUAUAUAGUAUAAUUUAUGGUCAAGACCGUGUUUACAAGAAAAAUUCUAUGAAGUUCUACGCAAUUAAUAUGAGAACUAGUCGCAUGACGUUAUAAUAACUACCUAAAGAAGCAUGACUUUUUUUAAAGUCAUGCUAUCAAGACUUUAAAACAAUUUAUUUUUGUACCGAAAAAAAAAAAACAAUUUAUUUAGGG
rnacentral:lncRNA from 1 species